rnacentral:rRNA from 1 species
AGAAUGAACGUUGGCGGCGUGGAUUAGGCAUGCAAGUCGAGCGAUAACCUCGCAAGAGGGGAAAGCGGCAAACGGGGUAGUAAUGUGUCGGAACGUGCCCUCUGGACGGGGAUAGCGGCGGGAAACUGCCGGUAAUACCCGAUGAACUCCGCCCCUGUGAUGGGGGCAGAGCAAAGGUGUGAUUCCGCCGGGGGAGCGGCCGACAUGGUAUUAGCUAGUUGGCGGGGUAAUGGCCCACCAAGGCUGUGAUGCCUAGGGGAUGUGAGAGCAUGACUCCCCACAUUGGGACUGAGACACUGACCCAAACACCUACGGGUGGCUGCAGUCGAGAAUCUUCGUCAAGUGGGACGAAAGCCUAGAACGAGCGACGCCGCGUGCGGAUGAACGGUCCCGUUGGGUCGUAAACCGCGUGUCGGAGGGAUGGAAGGUCAACGAGGUCCUCUGUUGUAUUUGACAGACGCCAGAAGAGACGACGG